UGACCGUGGUUAUUUUGGAAACCCAGGCUUGAAAGUCAUUGCUAAGGCCAUGGGUUGAAACGAAGUACGGAAGAGCGGUCAGAUAAGACUUCACCAUGUUCAGCAAUCUCUCUUGGACCAACGCUUUGUAAUGUGAACGAUGUCUCCUUUCAGCUUUAUCUGGUGUGUGUUCUGAAACCUAAAACUCUGUGAGAGAAAAAUGAUGUAUCACUCAACAUCUCUUGGUAUUGAUGAGUAGCAGCAAUAGCAUGUGUUUG
rnacentral:lncRNA from 12 species